AACUUUCAACAAUGGAUCUCUUGGUUCUGGCAUCGAUGAAGAACGCAGCGAAAUGCGAUAACUAAUGUGAAUUGCAGAAUCCGUGAAUCAUCGAAUCUUUGAACGCACAUUGCGCCCCCUGGUAUUCCGGGGGGCAUGCCUGUUCGAGCGUCAUUGCAACCCCUCAAGCUCG
rnacentral:rRNA from 1 species